GUCGAGAAUCUUUCACAAUGGGGGCAACCCUGAUGGAGCGACGCCGCGUGGAGGAUAAGGUCUUCGGAUUGUAAACUCCUGUCAUGCGUGAACAAGGUUGCUUGGUUAAUACCUGGGCAAAUUGAUGGUAACGCAAGAGGAAGAGACGGCUAACUCUGUGCCAGCAGCCGCGGUAAUACAGAGGUCUCAAGCGUUGUUCGGAAUCACUGGGCGUAAAGGGUGCGUAGUUGGCGUGGUAAGUCAGAUGUGAAAGCCCGGGGCUCAACCUCGGAACUGCAUCCGAUACUGCCAUGCUAGAGUACUGGAGAGGUGACUAGAAUUCUCGGUGUAGCAGUGAAAUGCGUAGAUAUCGAGAGGAAUACCAAAGGCGUAGGCAGGUCACUGGACAGUUACUGACACUGAGGCACGAAGGCCAGGGGAGCGAACGGGAUUAGAUACCCGGGUAGUCC
rnacentral:rRNA from 1 species